rnacentral:miRNA from 1 species
GAUUCAGGAUUUGCAAUGCACAAUUCCAGGGGGUGCCAUUCACAUUGUACAUAUGAAUGUUGCAGUAUAGAGUUGUGCAAUACCCAGUCUGUGA